rnacentral:rRNA from 1 species
AACGCUAGCUACAGGCUUAACACAUGCAAGUCGAGGGGCAUCAGGAACAAAGCUUGCUUUGUUUGCUGGCGACCGGCGCACGGGUGAGUAACGCGUAUCCGACCUACCCAUAACACGGGCACAGCCGCUCGAAAGAGUGAUUGAUUCCCGAUAUGUCAUAUAAGUCUAUUAUAUGAUGAAAGAUUUAUCGGUUAUGGAUGGGGAUGCGUAAGAUUAGGUAGUAGGCGGGGUAACGGCCCACCUAGCCGACGAUCUUUAGGGGUUCUGAGAGGAAGGUCCCCCACACUGGUACUGAGACACGGACCAGACUCCUACGGGAGGCAGCAGUGGGGAAUAUUGGUCAAUGGGCGGAAGCCUGAACCAGCCAAGUAGCGUGAAGGAUUACAGCCCUACGGGUUUUAAACUUCUUUUAUAUGAGAGUAAUGUGCACUACGUGUAGUGUAUUGCAAGUAUCAUAUGAAUAAGCAUCAGCUAACUCCGUGCCAGCAGCCGCGGUAAUACGGAGGAUGCGAGCGUUAUCCGGAUUUAUUGGGUUUAAAGGGAGCGUAGGCGGGAUAUUAAGUCAGUCGUCAAAGCCUGUGGCUCAACCACAGCCCGCGAUUGAUACUGGUAACCUUGAGUGCGGAUGAGGUGGAUGGAAUUCGUGGUGUAGCGGUGAAAUGCUUAGAUAUCACGAAGAACUCCGAUUG